rnacentral:rRNA from 1 species
GGGUCAGUAGGUUCGUCGUGCCACCGGUACGUACUGGUCUCACUGAUUCCUCCUUCCUGAGGAACCGUAAUGCCAUUAAUUUGGUGUUGCGGGGAAACAGGACUGUUACUUUGAAAAAAUUAGAGUGUUUAAAGCAAGCUAACGCUUGAAUACAUUAGCAUGGAAUAAUGAAAUAGGACGAUCGAUCCUAUUUUGUUGGUUUCUAGGAUUGACGUA